GUGCUCACCUCAGCAGCACAAACACUAAGACUAGAAUGAUACUGAGAAGAUCAGCACGGCCGCCAGGAAGGAUGAGCCCCAAAUCUGUGAAGCGUUCCACAUGUUU